AGGUGGCAUGUUAAGUCAGAUGUGAAAGCCCUGGGCUUAACCUGGGAACGGCAUUUGAAACUGGCAAGCUAGAGUUGAGUAGAGGGGGGCGGAAUUUCCGGUGUAGCGGUGAAAUGCGUAGAUAUCGGAAGGAACACCCGUGGCGAAGGCGGCUCCCUGGACUCAAACUGACGCUGAGGUACGAAAGCGUGGGUAGCAAACAGGAUUAGAUACCCUGGUAGUCCACGCCCUAAACGAUGCCAUCUAGGUGUUGGGGAAGGAGACUUCCUUAGUACCGUAGCUAACGCGUGAAGUUGGCCGCCUGGGGAGUACGGUCGCAAGAUUAAAACUCAAAGGAAUUGACGGGGACCCGCACAAGCGGUGGAUGAUGUGGAUUAAUUCGAUGCAACGCGAAAAACCUUACCUACCCUUGACAUGUCCGGAAUCCUGCUGAGAGGUGGGAGUGCUCGAAAGAGAGCCGGAACACAGGUGCUGCAUGGCUGUCGUCAGCUCGUGUCGUGAGAUGUUGGGUUAAGUCCCGCAACGAGCGCAACCCUUGUCAUUAGUUGCCAUCAUUUAGUUGGGCACUCUAAUGAGACUGCCGGUGACAAACCGGAGGAAGGUGGGGAUGACGUCAAGUCCUCAUGGCCCUUAUGGGUAGGGCUUCACACGUCAUACAAUGGUCGGUACAGAGGGUCGCCAACCCGCGAGGGGGAGCCAAUCUCACAAAGCCGAUCGUAGUCCGGAUUGGAGUCUGCAACUCGACUCCAUGAAGUCGGAAUCGCUAGUAA
rnacentral:rRNA from 1 species